CCCUGAGAAAAAUAUUCCCCUUGGAUUGUCCCUUAGAUUCCCAGAUGGACACAGAUAUACAUCUUCCAAUUAUCCUCUGAUAGCAUCAGCUGUAUCUAACACAUCUACUUGCCCCCUGAACUAUUCCAGGUCAGCCCUUGUGUCUUUGGGACACAAAACAUCACUCCAUCCCUGGUAAGGUAACAAAAAUGUCCCACUUCUGCCUACAUAGAGACCUCAUCCCACCUCCUUGUCUCUGGUCACACAGCCCCUGUUGUUUAAAAGCUACCUAUUGGAGCUAUUGGAGCAACCUGUCCAGAUCCAGGACUUUACCUUAAAGCUCUCCCACAACAUCCUUACAAUCAGGAUCCAGCCCUAAACUGAGAAAGGGGCUUGGUCCUGACUUGUUGGGCAAUUGGCAUGUAAAUAAUAAAUUGAAAUGCUCAGAAGUUUGAAUUUUUGUU
rnacentral:lncRNA from 1 species